rnacentral:lncRNA from 1 species
UUGGCUGUUGUUGAAUCGAAGUCGAUAGUUGAUUGAUCUGAAUUGAGGGCCGAUUGGCUUAUCCCAAUAAUUUUAAAAGUGUCAGUUGGCACAUUAGCAGAGUGCAUUUGGUUCAAUAUCAUCUUCCAUCUACAUCCAGUGAGAUUUUUGUCGCCAUAACCAUCUAAACAAAAAUGUCAUAGUUUUUUAAAAAAAAUUGAUAAAAGUCUGAUUAUGGUUAUAAUAUUCUUGCCCCAAUCAACAGUAUCUUAAAUGGCUUAGUUUCACUUUUCCCAGCGAUCGAGAGGUUCAUGUAGCAAAGACAUGCGGGUGUCUUCGGGUAUAGAAUAA